rnacentral:lncRNA from 1 species
CUUUGAUUUCGCUCGCUUUCCCAACAGCGGGAUUGCAAACCACCUUCUCUCACGGUUUUUUUUUUUUUGGUUUUUAGCUUUAAUUGGAAGUGAAAACUACCAAGAACUGCAAAAUGCGGCACCUGACCAUGUGUGGAAGUGGGCUGCCUUCACCUUUACCUGACAUUGCAGGACAGAUGAAGCUACAGCACUCCAUAGCACUCACAGAUAAUUACCUUUCUUCCGCGAGAAUUUACUUCUCAGUAUAAAUGGUAUCUCAAGUCGGGAGCUCAGUUCCCUUAGGUCGAAGUUUGGAGAGGAUAAGGAUUAUUCCAGGGACCACAUCUUGCUUUUGAGCUGAGAAAACCACUGCAGGGAGCGCGCUCUGGGAAGCUGGAGCCAUGUCCAGCUCUUGGAUGCAGAGAUGAAGGAAGGCUCGGUUGUUUGGAUCCAUAUGGCAGCAGAGGUUCCCGGAGAUGCUCUGAGCCUCCUGUUUUAUUUCUGAAGGAAGUUUAUUAAUAACCAAGGGGAGAAAUUGAUCGGUGGAUCCACAGAAGGGGGAAAGCUGGCAGUGUACUCUCUUCAAAAAAUGAAGAAAAAGCAGUGCAAGAAGAGAGCAUUCGCCUCUCCGGUGGCUGGAUUCCAGGGGGAAAAAAAAAGGGAAAAUUCGGGAGCAGCUUUGCCUGGCUGCCUGCAGACAAGAAGCCCCACUGGCCUCCUGCCUGCUCCUGGGCUGCCAGCGGAAGCUUUGCCAUGGACUUGGCAGCGCUGUGCCCAAAUGCUGCCCAGCUUUGUGCUGCGCUUCCCGGUGGGGCCGGGAACACGGGCUGGAGGAGCUCUGCAUGGGAAAGCAGCCGCGUGUGAGCCGCCUGCUAAGCACCUCGAGGCUGCCUCUGGUCCUCGCUGGAGGUUGCCUUAGCAUAAAUCAGCCUGGCCUUGCUGCCUCUGGGUUUGCCACCUUUAUGAGGACGAGCGAUGUCAUUGUCAAUGCUGAAUUUCAUGACUUUUUCAACGCUAUGAAAAAUGAAGACUUAGUAGAACAGUUUAGAGACAGCCUGAAAGGAUGGAGGUGGUCAAGUCAGCGUUUCAUUCCUGCAUAUAAACUCAGCUUUGCUCUAAGCAAAUCCCUUGGUCGCCUUGAAGCAAUCCAGCAUCUCAUCCUGGACAUAUUGAUGACCAAACUUGAAAUAAUGGUGAUUUUGGCAGCUGCUUUUUGGCACUGAGGAUUCAUCUGGCAGUACGUUGAGCCAAUACACCUAUUGAGGUCCGGAGCACCCUUUGUCCUCUAACACAAUGGGAAACUCUUCUCUAUGACACUGCUAUAGAAAGAAUGAGCUGUUGGGCAAGUGGUGCUGUCCAAGCAUGUUGUGGUAGACUGGUGAUGUGCACCAAUAAUGCCACGUUGUUAAUUUUCUCCGUGGUGCUGUAAGUAGAGCUUGUCUCGUCUGUAGAAAUGAGGCAGGUGAGCUGGAAUGUCUAUUAUUUAUAGACACAUUCUGUGCUGUAUAAAUGAAUUUUUCAUAGGAAAACUUUGUACAAAAAAAAAAAAAAAAGGCAUUGGAGACUGCCUCAUAAAUAAUAGUGACUGGGAACUUCAAAUACGGUUUGGGGAAUGGGUGAAUAUAUCCUUUUAGUCCCCUCCCCUUAAAGUUAUCCAGAUGGAACCCUGAGCACACUGAAAACAAUGGUGCUUCGGUCCUGGGGAGAAAUCUCAGCUCUGUUAUGGACAGCAGCAGGAUUGCAAAACACUGAACUGCAGCUUGUGUUGACGUCAGUUGUCUUGCAAAACUGAGGUGCCCAUGAUCAAAUACAGUGCUAUUAGUAUGUUGACAUGUUUGCGAUGCAUCUCUUGAAAAGUGAUAUACUGAGACUGGACUGAAGUACAAUCCAAUUUGUGAGGGAGAAGGAACUCUUCUGUGUCAAGUAGGUGACCUCUGUAUUGUCUUUGCUGCACUCUAUUCAAUGCCAGUUGGGAAGAGGCUCGGGGAAGACAUGAAAUAUGGCAGGAAAUCAUUGAGCAGCAAGGAGCCUGCAGGCACGAGGGGAGCACAGAGACCCACCAUCAAGAUAACGAGCAAGGAAGGGCUGAGGAGGGAGAGAGAGAAGGAUAGCUGAGACGUCUGGCUAAGCAGAUGUUGUUGUGGAUGCUGUAUUUGACUCUGGUGCAAGGAAACACCAGCACACCUGCCUUUCUG